CCUCAGCGCCGCCACCAGGGGGCGCCAAGCGCUGCUGCGGCUCCUGCAGGGACAGGUCCGUUUGGCGGCAGGGGCAGGGCCCGGCUCGGCCCCUCCCCUGCUGGAGAGGGAGGGGCGUCACCGGCGCCUCUUACUGGGAGCACUGGGAGCACUGGGAGAGCCCCUCCCCCACCCGGGCCCCUCCCCCCUUGACUCUCUGAGGCGGAACCUGGGAUUGGGCCCCGAGCAGCCCCUCCCCCUCCUGCUGCACCGUGUGGCCGAGCUGCGCCACGAUCUCCGGAGGGCGGGGCUUCCCAAAAAGGGGGCGGGGCCACCUCCUCCAAAGGAGGUGUGUCCCGUCGGGCCCCGCCCCACCCCAGGCCCCAACCCUGAGCUGCUGCAGAGGCUGCGAUUGGUCAGCGACAAGUGCCAGGAGUGUCUCGAGGGCUGGCCCCGCCUCCUGGACACUGUCAGCCAAUGGUGGGACCUCCCUGCCCAGCACAUCCAGGCCACGCCCCCCAACCGCAUCCCGUUCUCCCAUUGGCUGGAGCGCUGGAGGGGGGCGGUGCUGGCCUUGACCACGCCCACACCGGAAGUAGGGGAGGAGCCAGUGGAGCCCCACCCAUGAGAGGGGAGAGGGUUUUGAUUGUCAAUAAAGGUGUUGCAGAUGAGGGGUUUGGCCUGAUGGGGCGUGGCCUGAUGCGGUGUGGUCAGGGGCGGGGCUUGAGGAGAGACCCCAAGUGUCCCCAGUCC